GAUGACCUGUUGCUCUUUUUCACGGGCUGAGCCCAGGAGGGACCACCCCGAGGCGAGUUCAGGAGUAAAGUGCGCAUGCGCCGCUCAGAACAGCAGCCCCCGCCCCCCCGCCAAAGAUUGCCACAGCCUCGUGGCUCCUGCUGCUUAAGCAGGUGUCUGCUGCUGUGCAAGCCCUCAGUGAACCCCAAUAACCCUGUCCAUUCUGAAAUCAGAAAAUAAACUAUGUCGUGCCUGGCCUGAGUGGGAGCUGGCCUGAUGUCAGCAGGCACUGUCUUCUUCACCUGUCGGGUCCGCAGCCACCCUCUGCCUCCUCUUCUUGCAAACAUGGAUGAAAUGGCGCAUGGACCAGCAUGGUGUUGCGUGGCACUGAAGUGAUGGUUAGGGGUGCAACUUGAGAAAUGAAAUGGCUGAAGUGAGCAGGUCUUUUGAAGUUCUGACCAGCAAGGCUUCUGAUGUCUUUGCAUGUCAUUAAAAUCCAGACUCUAAGGUACAGAGGACAACAGCCCUCUCCAGGGAGCUACAGCCUCAAUGUUAUUAUAUUAUCUACAAUGAAACUGCAUGGUGAAUAUAAGUACCCCACUGCUUUCCACAAGUUUGAAUUAACUGAAAGAAGUUUGAAGAGACUUUUGGCUUUUAUGGAAAAAAAGCUGUUAUCAUCCUAAUGUUAGUCCUGUUUAAAAAGCAAAGUGGUGUAAUGUUAACUUUCAGAAAAGGAGUUAUACUCUGCUUUACCUCAUUUCAGUUUAUGAAAGGUUUCAUAGGAACACACCACUUCCAUAUACUGGGGAAAACCUCUAUUUUUAAAUAUUGUGAAAUAUAAAUUGAUAAAAAGCAACCCAAAGGACGACUACCAGAUGUCACCCAGCUGGCCAGUGUAAUGUUCUGUGUUCCAUAAAUUCCCAAAUCGCAUUUAACUGUCAUCAAUAUUUCUGUGAUGAUAACUGAUUUAGGAUGAGUCUUACUCAUGAGAUAAUAUGGUGAGGAUAGAAAAAUAGGCAAAAUUAAAGCAUUCACAGAUUAAUGAGAAAUUAGUAUUGCUAUCAUAUUCUUUCUCAUUCAAAUACUUUAGAUUAAGAAAUCACCAUUCCUAGCCUUUGUAGAGAAGCCAUGGCUGCCUCCUAUGAGAGGAGAGAAAACCAAAUGGUAAUCUAAGAGUUCUUACACAUAUUUGCAAUGAAGCCU